rnacentral:hammerhead_ribozyme from 1 species
AUCCAAAAGAUGAGUCUCAAAUAGGACGAAACGCGCGUCCUGGAU